UGGGGAAUAUUGGGCAAUGGGGGAAACCCUGACCCAGCAACGCCGCGUGAGGGAAGAAGGUCUUCGGAUUGUAAACCUCUGUUCUUGGUGAAGAGUAAAAGACGGUAACCAAGGAGGAAGCCCCGGCUAACUACGUGCCAGCAGCCGCGGUAAUACGUAGGGGGCGAGCGUUGUCCGGAAUGAUUGGGCGUAAAGGGCGCGUAGGCGGCUUAGCAAGUCUGGAGUGGAAGUCCUCUUUUCAAGGGAGGAAUUGCUUUGGAAACUGCUGAGCUUGAGUGCAGGAGAGGUUAUCGGAAUUCCCGGUGUAGCGGUGAAAUGCGUAGAGAUCGGGAGGAACACCAGUGGCGAAGGCGGGUAACUGGACUGCAACUGACGCUGAGGCGCGAAAGUGUGGGGAGCAAACAGG
rnacentral:rRNA from 1 species